rnacentral:rRNA from 1 species
UGUUUGAUGUUCUAACGUUGGCCCCUGAUCGGGGUUGCGGACAGUGUCUGGUGGGUAGUUUGACUGGGGCGGUCUCCUCCUAAAGAGUAACGGAGGAGCACGAAGGUUGGCUAAUCCUGGUCGGACAUCAGGAGGUUAGUGCAAUGGCAUAAGCCAGCUUGACUGCGAGCGUGACGGCGCGAGCAGGUGCGAAAGCAGGUCAUAGUGAUCCGGUGGUUCUGAAUGGAAGGGCCAUCGCUCAACGGAUAAAAGGUACUCCGGGGAUAACAGGCUGAUACCGCCCAAGAGUUCAUAUCGACGGCGGUGUUUGGCACCUCGAUGUCGGCUCAUCACAUCCUGGGGCUGAAGUAGGUCCCAAGGGUAUGGCUGUUCGCCAUUUAAAGUGGUACGCGAGCUGGGUUUAGAACGUCGUGAGACAGUUCGGUCCCUAUCUGCCGUGGGCGCUGGAGAACUGAGGGGGGCUGCUCCUAGUACGAGAGGACCGGAGUGGACGCAUCACUGGUGUUCGGGUUGUCAUGCCAAUGGCACUGCCCGGUAGCUAAAUGCGGAAGAGAUAAGUGCUGAAAGCAUCUAAGCACGAAACUUGCCCCGAGAUGAGUUCUCCCUGACUCCUUGAGAGUCCUGAAGGAACGUUGAAGACGACGACGUUGAUAGGCCGGGUGUGUAAGCGCAGCGAUGCGUUGAGCUAACCGGUACUAAUGAACCGUGAGGCUUAACCUUACAACGCCGAAGCUGUU